UACGUAGGCAGCAAGCGUUGUUCGGAGUUACUGGGCGUAAAGGGUGUGUAGGCGGCUGUUUAAGUUUGGUGUGAAAUCUCCCGGCUCAACUGGGAGGGUGCGCCGAAUACUGAAUGACUAGAGUGCGGGAGAGGAAAGUGGAAUUCCUGGUGUAGCGGUGAAAUGCGUAGAUAUCAGGAGGAACACCGGUGGUGUAGACGGCUUUCUGGACCGUAACUGACGCUGAGACACGAAAGCGUGGGUAGCAAACAGG
rnacentral:rRNA from 1 species